UACGUAGGGGGCAAGCGUUGUCCGGAAUUAUUGGGCGUAAAGAGCUCGUAGGCGGUUUGUCGCGUCUGCUGUGAAAACUCGGGGCUUAACUCCGGGCCUGCAGUGGGUACGGGCAGACUAGAGUGCGGUAGGGGAGACUGGAAUUCCUGGUGUAGCGGUGAAAUGCGCAGAUAUCAGGAGGAACACCGAUGGCGAAGGCAGGUCUCUGGGCCGAUACUGACGCUGAGGAGCGAAAGCGUGGGGAGCGAACAGG
rnacentral:rRNA from 1 species